rnacentral:lncRNA from 1 species
CCCUGAGGUAGGAGAGAGGGGACUUACACCUCUGCUCUCAACGUGGAGAAGGUAGGACUUGAAGCACAGAUCCUACACAGAAGAGGGAGGGGCCUAUAGACGCAGUGAGAAUAAUGACAUUAUUAUCUCCUAGAGGCCAAAGAACUUGCCCAGACUUAUGGCAGAAGAUGCAGGGGAUGGCUCAGUAUUCUGGGUAAAAUAAAGAAGAUGGAGCCAAGAUGGGAACAAACCACACAUGAGUGCUGGUCCAUGAUGCUCUCCUGGGUCAGCUUCAGGUCUCCCUCCAGCUUCCGCUUGGCUCGCUCUAGGUCCAUGCGCACUUUCUUCUCCUGCUCCAGGGAUCCCUCCAGCUGGCAGAGAGAAUAAAAUGAAUACAUGCUGGAAAGACUGGAAUUCACAGUGUACGCCUUAAACUUGAAGUCCAUCGGGGUUGGUACUCCAGAGAUUUGCCUGAUGA